rfam:Nematostella vectensis strain CH2 x CH6 NEMVEscaffold_32_Cont5592, whole genome shotgun sequence.
AGACGUGUUUACACGGCAGGCAUUAUAUGUUAUGCCUACCUGCAAGAGACGUGUUUACACGGCAGGCAUUAUAUGUUAUGCCUACCUGCAAGAGACGUGUUUACACGGCAGGAAUUAUAUGUCAUGCCUACCUGCAAGAGACGUGUUUACACGGCAGGCAU